rnacentral:rRNA from 1 species
UACGUAGGGGGCGAGCGUUGUUCGGAGUUACUGGGCGUAAAGGGCGCGUAGGCGGCGAUCCAAGUUAGGCGUGAAAGCCCCGGGCUUAACCUGGGAAUUGCGCUUAAGACUGGACUGCUUGAGUGCGGGAGAGGUGAGUGGAAUUCCCAGUGUAGAGGUGAAAUUCGUAGAUAUUGGGAAGAACACCAGUGGCGAAGGCGGCUCACUGGCCCGCAACUGACGCUGAGGCGCGAAAGCGUGGGGAGCAAACAGG